CUCGUAGGCGGUUCGGUAAGUCGGGUGUGAAAACUCUGGGCUCAACCCAGAGAGGCCACCCGAUACUGCUGUGACUAGAGUGCGGUAGGGGAGCGGGGAAUUCAUGGUGUAGCGGUGAAAUGCGCAGAUAUCAUGAGGAACACCAGUGGCGAAGGCGCCGCUCUGGGCCGUAACUGACGCUGAGGAGCGAAAGCGUGGGUAGCAAACA
rnacentral:rRNA from 1 species